GCGUCUUAAGCAUGCAAGUCAAACGGGAUGUAGCAAUACAUCUAGUGGCGAACGGGUGAGUAACGCGUGGAUGAUCUACCUACGAGAUGGGGAUAACUAUUAGAAAUAGUAGCUAAUACCGAAUAAAGUCAAUUAAUUUGUUAAUUGAUGAAAGGAAGCCUUUAAAGCUUCGCUUGUAGAUGAGUCUGCGUCUUAUUAGCUAGUUGGUAGGGUAAAUGCCUACCAAGGCGAUGAUAAGUAACCGGCCUGAGAGGGUGAACGGUCACACUGGAACUGAGAUACGGUCCAGACUCCUACGGGAGGCAGCAGCUAAGAAUCUUCCGCAAUGGGCGAAAGCCUGACGGAGCGACACUGCGUGAAUGAAGAAGGUCGAAAGAUUGUAAAAUUCUUUUAUAAAUGAGGAAUAAGCUUUGUAGGAAAUGACAAGGUGAUGACGUUAAUUUAUGAAUAAGCCCCGGCUAAUUACGUGCCAGCAGCCGCGGUAAUACGUAAGGGGCGAGCGUUGUUCGGGAUUAUUGGGCGUAAAGGGUGAGUAGGCGGAUAUAUAAGUCUAUGCAUAAAAUACCACAGCUCAACUGUGGAACUAUGUUGGAAACUAUAUGUCUAGAGUCUGAUAGAGGAAGUUAGAAUUUCUGGUGUAAGGGUGGAAUCUGUUGAUAUCAGAAAGAAUACCGGAGGCGAAGGCGAACUUCUGGGUCAAGACUGACGCUGAGUCACGAAAGCGUAGGGAGCAAACAGGAUUAGAUACCCUGGUAGUCUACGCUGUAAACGAUGCACACUUGGUGUUAACUAAAAGUUAGUACCGAAGCUAACGUG
rnacentral:rRNA from 1 species